rnacentral:ncRNA from 1 species
CAGUCGAGUCGAGGCGACGCGAGUGUUGAGAGUGAGUGUGCACACUUUCUCUCUCUCAUAGCGAGCGUACGGCGCAUUAGAGCAGAUAUCACCUUUCUCGGAAUCCUGAAAAGGAUAACUGCGGAAAUUCUGGAGCUAAUACAUGCAACUAUACCCCAACGCAAGGCGGGGUGCAAUUAUUAGAACAGACCAAACGUUUUCGGACGUUGUUUGUUGACUCUGAUUGUGAAUACCGUCGUUUACUGUCAGUUUCGACUGACUCUAUCCGAGAAGGGUGUCCCAUUUAACUAGAUGGUAGUCUAUUGGACUACCAUAAUUGUUACGGGUAACGGAGAAUAAGGGUUCGACUCCGGAGAGGGAGUCUUAGAAACGGCUACCACGUCCAAGGAAGGCAGCAGGCGCGAAACUUAUCCACUGUUGAGUAUGAGAUAGUGACUAAAAAUAUAAAGACUCAUCCUUUUGGAUGAGUUAUUUCACUGUGUUGAAUAUGAAUUAUUCUUCGAGUAGCAAGGAGAGGGCAAGUCUGGUGCCAGCAGCCGCGGUAAUUCCAGCUCUCCUAGUGUAUCUCGUUGUUGCUGCGGUUAAAAACCUCGUAGUGGGAUCUAGGUUACGUGCCGCAGUUCGCAAUUUGCGUUAACUGUGGUCGUGACUUCUAAUUUGCUGGUUUGAUGUUGGGUUCGCCCUUCAACUGCCAGCAGGUUUACCUUUCGAAGGUUUGAAGGCGAUUAGAUACCGCCCUAGUACUGACCGUAAACGAUGUCAUCUCGCGAUUCGGAGGGUUCAUGCCCUACCGAGGAGCUACCCGGAAAUGAAAGUCUUUCGGUUCCGGGGGUAGUAUGGUUGCAAAGCUGCAACUUAAAGAAAUUGACGGAAGGGCACCACAAGGCGUGGAGCUUGCGGCUUAAUUUGACUCAACACGGGAAAACUCACCCGGUCCGGACACUAUUAGAACUAACAGAUUGAAAACUCUUU